UAGGAAAUGAAAUGAGCAGAGAUA
rnacentral:snRNA from 1 species